rnacentral:rRNA from 1 species
GACGAACGCUGGCGGCGUGCUUAACACAUGCAAGUCGAACGGAAAGGCCCUGCUUUUGUGGGGUGCUCGAGUGGCGAACGGGUGAGUAACACGUGAGUAACCUGUCCUUGACUUUGGGAUAACUUCAGGAAACUGGGGCUAAUACCGGAUAGGAGCUCCUGCCGCAUGGUGGGGGUGGGAAAGUUUCGGCGGUUGGGGAUGGACUCGCGGCUUAUCAGCUUGUUGGUGGGGUAGUGGCUUACCAAGGCUUUGACGGGUAGCCGGCCUGCGAGGGUGACCUGCCACAUUGGGACUGGGAUACGGCCCAGACUCCUACGGGAGGCAGCAGUGGUGAAUGUUGCACAAUGGGCGGAAGCCUGGUGCAGCAACGCCGCGUGCGGGAUGACGGCCUUCGGGUUGUAAACCUCUUUCGCCUGUGACGAAGCGUGAGUGACGGUAAUGGGCAAAGAAGCACCGGCUAACUACGUGCCAGCCGCCGCGGUAAAAC